UUAGUCUCUUUAAAUUUGGCUUGGGCUAGCCACAGCCCACAGGGCAACAUUUGACUCUUUUAUAAGGGCUUUAGCCCUUUUCUUAAUUGUUGUUGGAGAUAAAAAAGGGGCUACAAUUUAGAAAAUGACCCUUUAGACCCAAUUACUGGAGAUGACCUUACAUGUAACUGACUUAGGCAUCGGAGAGUUGAAGGCCGGCUAACCCGGUCUUCCCUCUUACCUCUGUUCAUGGUUGGAAGGUAUGGAUCUCGGAAGUGGAAGCUUAUGGUUGAAAGGUAUGGAUCUCGGAAGUGGAAGCUUUCAAGACAACCCCAUUUCUACCACAGAAACAUUUGGCGCUAGAAAAGGAGCCUCUCAAGUGGAAAACACCCUGAAUUGAUGAGAAUCAAAAAAUUUCAGCUCCUGGAUCAAUUUACAGAAAAUUUUGAGGAAAGAGAAAGUAGAUCCAGAUUCUCUCUCCUCCAUGACCGAUCUCUCGUACUAUUAUGCAGCUCACCUCCUUCUCACAAUCUCAAUCCAACAUCAAAGGGUUCUGGGUUUUGGAAAAUCACGCCAUUAAGCUGCUGGGUUCUUUGAAUUUACAGUCUGCUGGAUUCUUUCAAUCAACGGAGUUCUUGAGGAGAGAGAAAGUAGAUCUGGGAUUUUCUCUCUCCUCCACUGCUGCUCUACAAGCACCUCUAUGCCUCAACUCCACCACCACGAAGCUCACCAACCUCCGGCGAAUCAAACCCGGUCUCCUCCUCGCAGAAAUCCACGACCUGCAGCUACACAAACUCCGGUUCAUGAGAAUCAAGUUGGCCUCCAGUUCCAUUAAUCACAUUCAUGAGAAUCAAGUUGGCCUCCAGUUCCAUUUCAGUGAGUCACCACGACAAUGGCCAAGACCGAGGGACUCCAAUCUGCUUGUGGAAUGUAUUAGCUCCAUGGGAACAAAUUCACGAGCCCCCACUACAGACAUUCAAUCGAAGUCCCAGACUCCAGUUCUCCAACAAGACUUCAAGAAAUCCUAGAAGCGAGAAAUCGGAAUCGGGUUCUCAUUUUAUAUCGGUGACCCAAAAAUCUGAGCCACGACCAAAGCCCAGCGAUCUCGCUCUCGGCCACCUACAGACGAUCUCGCUCUCGGUAUCCUACCAACAAUCUCGCUUCCGGUCCCCUACAAAUGAGCUCGCCAUCUUGCCCUCGGCGACUUACAUCGACCAAGCUCUCGCCAAGGUCACACCCUGUCUCGCUGCCCUCUCUUCUCCGUAUCGGAACUCGGAAUAUCUAAGUCAUGAACUCGAUCUCGACACCCAGAGACUGAAUGUUGGCUUUUUGAAGGAAAGCUCUGAACUCGGUCUCGGAGCUAAUGCCAGAAUCUAACUCGGCCAGGUAUCGGUUAAAAAAAAAAACAAAUGAUCUCGGCACCCAAAGCCGAGUUGGACACCCAGUUUCUCUCGGCAGCAACUUCACCUCACUCUCGCUGCAGUUUCAAUACUUCCAGCUACAGCGACAAUGCUGGAGGCGGUGUUUCCACUCAUGUUUUGCAAUGCCAAUUCUCGUGAAUAUUUCUCCUUUCAUGGGAUUAAAAAAAAAAAAAAAAGGUCGUGUGUAACCAUCAAUCUUCUCUGGACACCCUUAUGGAAACUCAGCAGAUAUACUUGCAAGCCUAAGCGAUCUUAUCACCCUGUCCCGAACACAGACCAGAUAAUGGCAUACUUUGUUCCCCCCAUCUGGGUUCCUACAACUCUCGGCAUCGAGAUCCGGUCUCACCACCAACUCGGUAUCGCAAUAAUCCCCUCUCGCUCGUCCGGGUUAAAAAUAAAAAAUAAAAAAAAUAUAAGGAGAAGAGAAGAAACAUGAGGAGGGGGGAGUCGAAGAGUUGCAGCGAACAAUCAAUUGCUUAAUACACCCGGCCAUGGAGACAGUUUUCUCUCAUCUUCCUUGCUUCUCCAACUCGUGCACACCACCGAGGUGGUCAAUUCACAAGCCAAGUUCUCUUCUCUAUCAUAGGCAACCUGCCAAUAUUUUGAAGUCAAGGUUAAUCAAACAUAUGUGCUAGUUGUGCAAUCAUACUUGGUGUCUGCACGUGCAUAACACCUCCCCCGCUGUGUAAACGAGUACACUUUGUUUUGAUCCCAUGUGUUCACAGACCUUGUCUGUUAGACACGUAUCAUCUGUCAUAACAUGCACAAACCUGCUUUA